AACCUGAUAGUUCGAGCUCUGACAUUGACAUUCACCAUUGUUGGAGGAGAGAGAAAUAGGGGCUCCCCAAAGCAAUCUUUCAUGGCGUUUAUGAGAGGAGAACCGCUGGUGGCAAAGCUCGCAGUGCUAGCGAGGUUCGUUGUUCUUCCAGGAGCAAUGGCCGCUGCUCUGAUCUAUUCUCCUCAACAGGACCCCAACAAGAAGGGCCAUACAAAGUAGUGUGAUUCAUCCCUUUCCAGAUAGGAAUUUACAGCCACAUAGGAUGCAAGUUUCGACUUUGGAGUGCCUGAAUAAUUUUUUUGGGAUGGCUGUGGUUUCAAGGUUAUUUUUCUUGUUUUGCACCUAGGUUUUUCAUUUUAGAUGUGGGUAAAAAGACUAGUGCUUGUGUUGAGAUUUGAAUAAGAAUGAAGACUUAAAAAAGUUUCUGCAUUUGCAUCUUGGACAAAUGAAGAUGAUGUUCAAAAUAUGUAUCUUUUUUUUUUUUUUUUGGCUUCGAAUAUUGAAAAUGUAGAUCUACUCUUGAAAACAUCAAUCGAAUUGUAGCCAGUAACACCAUC